CCCGAGCCCACCUCUUCCUCCACUUUCCAGCCUUGCAAGGUCCCCGGCACCUGCGCUCCUCCCACGUGCGUCAGCACCGCCGGUUUGCUUCCCGGCAGGUGCCCACUUUAGGCGUCGGUGCUCUCUGCGCCGCCCAGGAAGCAGGGGGAGCCAUCCUCACACACCGCAGCCCAACCGGGACGCCAGUGGCUGGGCAUGCCGGGCCGGGAUCAGCGCGAGGAGUCGGCUCCCAGGCGCUCCGUGUCGCCAUGAACACGCCCUCCAGCCAACAUUCACUGAUCGAUGGAAAGCCUGCUGAGACUGGUCCAUUCCCUCUGGUGACCUGGAAGGAUGACAGAGAGGCUCACCUGCUGGGAGAGCUCAUCCCACUGGGUUCCCUGCAGGCUCUGAGCUCCUGAAGGGUGAAGCCUCACCUCUUCCCACCUGACCUCACAUGAACUGUCCCUUCUAGUGAUAGGAAAUGAGCCCAACCUGAAUUCAAAUCCAGGAACCUGCCAAGUCCUGCAAUGAAGACACCGAGACUCAGAGUGUCCAUGAGACCUGCCAAAAGUCUUAUUGCUGGAAAGGGAUCACCCCACCUUAUUGUUAUUUCAACAUCAUGUGUGUCCAGGAUGAACAAAGAAAAAUACCUCCUUUCAAGGAUCCAACAUACAAGUAUAGAAGAUGAAAAAGCAUACCAGAACAAGGAAUAGCUGGCUUUCUGAUGAAAAUACUCCGUCUUUCAGGCAAAGACAGAAUUCAUGUGCUAGACCAGAGCCGUGUGGCAGUUUUCAUUUUUAUAGACUGCCCUGGACAAUGACCACUCCACUCUCUGAUCUAUGAACUUGAAUAUUUUAGAUACCUUCUAGCACAGGCUCCGGACGCGCAGGCUCCACGGCAUGUGGGAUCUUCCCGGACCGGGGCACGAACCCACGUCCCCUGCAUUGGCAGGCAGGCCCCCAACCACUGCGCCACCAGGGAAGCCCUUUGUGUCUUCUUUAAUUCAUUAAAAUACUUUUCAGAUUUAUUCACAUUGUUGAAUAUGUCAGUAGUUUGUCCCUUUUGGUUUCUGUAAUAUUCUGUUGUUUGGAUGUACCAUAAUUUGUUUAUCCAAUCACCAACUGAUGAACUGAUGAUCACUUGGGUUGCUUUUUUUUUUGAUAUCAUAUAAAUAAAGCUACCAUGAA